AUUGAACGCUGGCGGCAUGCCUUACACAUGCAAGUCGAACGGCAGCACGGGAGCAAUCCUGGUGGCGAGUGGCGAACGGGUGAGUAAUAUAUCGGAACGUGCCCAGUCGUGGGGAUAACGUAGCGAAAGCUACGCUAAUACCGCAUACGAUCUAUGGAUGAAAGCGGGGGAGUCGCAAGACCUCGCGCGAUUGGAGCGGCCGAUAUCAGAUUAGGUAGUUGGUGAGGUAAAGGGACGUCACCAAGCCGACGAUCUGUAGCUGGUCUGAGAGGACGACCAGCCACACUGGGACUGAGACACGGCCCA
rnacentral:rRNA from 1 species